CCAUUGGCAUUGUUACGUACAUUAGCUCUUUUCUAGAAGCAUCUAUAAAGUGACGUCACGAAGUGGUGAUGACGCAACAGAAGAACCCACUUCAAAAUGGUGUGUGACGUCACAGAGGAUCAAGCGGGCCAUGGCACGAAAGAAGAAUGAAGAAAAGUCAGCGAAUUAAGCUGCAGAAGAAAAGCGCAAGACGAAGAUCAAAGACGAAGACACCGAUAAAGGAUACACGGUUUGAGGUUUUGAGGGUUAUAUGAGUUGUGUGUAGUAUAUGUGUGUCUUGCCUGCGCUGUUGUAUUCUUAUUCUGCUGGACCUAAUGUUGCCAGCUAUUUUUAGUCAGUCACUACUAUAGUGCAUUUUGCAUGUCUAUGAAAUAUAUGCAAUGAAACUAUGGCGCAUAUCUUGCUGGAUCAGAUUUUGUUGCUGUACACUCUAUAGUGUGUUUCUUCUACAAAGAUCGAAAUCUUUCAGCGAUUCUGUAUUGCCUCAAUCGUUUGGUAAGAACGCUAUGGUGGUACACAAAUACUCGAGUAAUAUCAACACGCUGUAUAAUAUGCGCGUAAAUGUGAUAAUACUUCAUUAAUAUAAUGUAACGUGAACUUUCCCACGUGGUUAACUUUAUAUUAAAACGUCAUGUAGCGCGAUUGAGACGAUGGCCACGUC